rnacentral:rRNA from 1 species
AGAGCAACUAACCAGGAUUCCCCCAGUAACGGCGAGCGAAGCGGGAGCAGCUCGAGCAGUCAAUCUCUGGCGUGGAUCGCCAGCGAAUUGUGGCCGGGAGAGGCGGGUGCACCCGACGCGCCUCCGUCGAAGUUGACCUGGAAAGGCACGUCGGAGAGGGUGAUAGCCCCGUGCGGGGCGGAGGCGCCGAGGGCCGCUACCGUCUUCCGAGAGUCGGGUUGUUUGAGAUUGCAGCCCAAAGCGGGUGGUAAACUCCAUCUAAAGCCAAACAGCGGCACGAGACCGAUAGCGAACAAGUACCAUGAGGGAAAGGUGAAAAGCACUUUGGAAAGAGAGUUAAAGAGACCGCGAAACCGUUAGGAGGGAAACGCAUGCAGCCGGACUGGCCCUCGUCGGGUUCAGGGGGCGGCGGCAGCCUCCGCGGUGGCUGGUGGCACCCCUCCGGGGCCGCAGCUGCCGCGAGGUCUCCGCGCCCCUGCACUCCCGACGGUUCGGGUCGGCCAAGGGCGGUGGUGUCCUGGGCGA